rnacentral:rRNA from 1 species
GAUAAACGCUGGCGGCGUGCCUAACACAUGCAAGUCGAACGUCCUCUGGCAACAGAGGGAGUGGCGGACGGGUGAGUAGCACGUGGGUACCUGCCUCGAAGUGAGGAAUACCACCGGGAAACCGGUGACAACACCGCAUAGGCUUGGAAACAAGCAAAGUCGCACGAGAGUGAGACGCUUCGAGAUGGGCCUGCGCCUGAUUAGCUGGUUGGUGGGGUAAGAGCCUACCAAGGCGACGAUCAGUAGCUGGUCUGAGAGGAUGAUCAGCCACACUGGG